GACGUAGGGCGCGAGCGUUGUCCGGAUUUAUUGGGCGUAAAGAGCUCGUAGGCGGCUUGUCGCGUCGUGUGUGAAAUCUCAGGGCUCAACUCUGACAUUGCAUACGAUACGGGCAGGCUUGAGUUCGGUAGGGGAGACUGGAAUUCCUGGUGUAGCGGUGAAAUGCGCAGAUAUCAGGAGGAACACCGGUGGCGAAGGCGGGUCUCUGGGCAAUAACUGACGCUGAGGAGCGAAAGCGUGGGGAGCGAACAGG
rnacentral:rRNA from 1 species